rnacentral:rRNA from 1 species
UACGGAGGGUGCAAGCGUUAUCCGGAUUUACUGGGUUUAAAGGGUGCGUAGGUGGGUCUGUAAGUCAGUGGUGAAAUCUCCGGGCUUAACCCGGAAACUGCCAUUGAUACUAUAGAUCUUGAAUAUCCUGGAGGUGAGCGGAAUAUGUCAUGUAGCGGUGAAACGCUUAGAUAUGACAUAGAACACCAAUUGCGAAGGCAGCUCACUACGGGAUCAUUGACACUGAGGCACGAAAGCGUGGGGAUCAAACAGG